AGGUCUGUAGCUCCUAAUUGGUAGAGCACCGCACUCCAAAUGCGGGGGUUGAGGGUUCGAAUCCUUCCAGGCCUGCCA
rnacentral:tRNA from 1 species